GUUUGAUCCUGGCUCAGAACGAACGCUGGCGGCGUGCCUAACACAUGCAAGUCGAACGUGAUCCGCCCUUCGGGGUGGUGAAAGUGGCGCACGGGUGAGUAACGCGUGGAUAAUCUGCCCGAGGAUUUGGGAUAACAUCUCGAAAGGGGUGCUAAUACCGAAUAAGCCCACGGGGUCUACGGAUCUUGCGGGAAAAGGGGGGACCUUCGGGCCUCCUGUCCUUGGAUGAGUCUGCGUACCAUUAGCUAGUUGGUGGGGUAAUGGCCUACCAAGGCGACGAUGGUUAGCUGGUCUGAGAGGAUGAUCAGCCACACUGGAACUGAGACACGGUCCAGACUCCUACGGGAGGCAGCAGUGGGGAAUUUUGCGCAAUGGGGGAAACCCUGACGCAGCAACGCCGCGUGGGUGAUGAAGGCCUUCGGGUCGUAAAGCUCUGUCUGGAGGGAAGAAAUGAUUGGGAGCUAAUACCUCUUGAUCUUGACGGUACCUCUGAAGGAAGCACCGGCUAACUCC
rnacentral:rRNA from 1 species